rnacentral:rRNA from 1 species
AUUGAACGCUGGCGGCAGGCCUAACACAUGCAAGUCGAGCGGAUGAAGGGAGCUUGCUCCUGGAUUCAGCGGCGGACGGGUGAGUAAUGCCUAGGAAUCUGCCUUGUAGUGGGGGAUAACGUCCGGAAACGGGCGCUAAUACCGCAUACGUCCUGAGGGAGAAAGUGGGGGAUCUUCGGACCUCACGCUAUCAGAUGAGCCUAGGUCGGAUUAGCUAGUUGGUGGGGUAAAGGCCUACCAAGGCGACGAUCCGUAACUGGUCUGAGAGGAUGAUCAGUCACACUGGAACUGAGACACGGUCCAGACUCCUACGGGAGGCAGCAGUGGGGAAUAUUGGACAAUGGGCGAAAGCCUGAUCCAGCCAUGCCGCGUGUGUGAAGAAGGUCUUCGGAUUGUAAAGCACUUUAAGUUGGGAGGAAGGGCAGUAAGUUAAUACCUUGCUGUUUUGACGGUACCAACAGAAUAAGCACCGGCUAACUUCGUG